rnacentral:rRNA from 1 species
UACGUAGGGUCCAAGCGUUAUCCGGAAUCACUUGGGCGUAAAGCGUGCGUAGGCGGAUGUUUAAGUGUGAUGUUAAAUCGUGGGGCUCAACCCUGUCGUUGCAUCGCAUACUGGGCAUCUAGAGGACGGCAGAGGCAAGUGGAACUCGUAGUGUAGCAGUGAAAUGCGUAGAUAUUACGAAGAACACCAAUGGCGAAGGCAGCUUGCUGGGCCGACCCUGACGCUGAGGUACGAAAGCGUGGGGAGCGAACAGG